CUGGCGCCGUGCUUAACACAUGCAAGUCGAACGCGAAAGGGACUUCGGUCCCGAGUAGAGUGGCGCACGGGUGAGUAACGCGUAAGUAAUCUACCCCUGUAUCUGGAAUAACCCACCGAAAGGUGAGCUAAUACCGGAUACGUUUAUCUUGAUGCGAAUGAUGAUAAAGAAAGGUGGCCUCUUCAUGAAAGCUACCGUACAGGGACGAGCUUGCGUACCAUUAGCUGGUUGGUAGGGUAAUGGCCUACCAAGGCGACGAUGGUUAGCGGGUCUGAGAGGAUGAUCCGCCACACUGGAACUGAAACACGGACCAGACUCCUACGGGAGGCAGCAGUGAGGAAUAUUGCGCAGUGGGGGCAACCCUGACGCAGCGACGCCGCGUGGACGAUGAAGGCCCUUGGGUCGUAAAAUCCUGUCAG
rnacentral:rRNA from 1 species